UGGCUCGGAGAUGGAGAAGCCGGGACUCGAACCGGCGCCCACAGGGGAUGCCGGCGCUGCAGGUGGCUGCUUAGGCCACUAAGCCACAACGCCAGCCCCUUAUGUUUAACUUUCUGAGCACCACCACCCUGUUUCCAUGGUUGCUGAACGUGUUUACAUUCUAGUUAAGACAAUUUCAAAGAUUCCAAAGGUACUGUGUGCAAACAAAGAGAAAAUUAAAGACUUAAACAUGUAUUCUAUAAAUUGGAAAACCAGGAUCACGUCCCUAAAGAGCAAGGGGGGCCUUGGGGUGCAGCCUGGCAGGGCCCCGGCUCCCCGCUGUGCAUCAGCACAAAGAGCGGGGCUAGCUGCCCCCUCCUCUGGCCGCCUCUCUCCUGCCCUUCACACACACAGCGGCUUGUAACUUAUUGUUGCUGACUUUGAAAGGGCGCUUUCAGCACCGUGGCAGGGCUGUCAGUGGGUAGGAGUUACAGCCCUGGCUGCUGCUAUCUGUGUCUGUCGUCUGGCUGGCUGGUUUGUGACUGCCUGUGCUUCCCAGGGAAUUCAUCCCCUAAGUGUGGAUGGCAAAUGACGAAAACCUGCCACAUAAAUAAGCAGGCAGGCAGAGCUGCACCGACAGCCUCUGGAGGGAAUCAGCUUGCUUCUGUGUCCCCUACUCAAGGCCCCCAAGCCCCAGGGCCAUCCUCCCACGGGGAAAAAGCCAGGCUUUUGCUCCCUUCCUCCCUCGUCCAGGGAACACGUAGGAGCAUCUCGUCCAGGCAGCAGGUUUGGAUGUUUUUAGGUGAGUUACACCUAAAAAGCCUUGUGAUCUGAAGACGCUGCUGUCCUCAGUUCAAAACGAGGAAGUGGAGACUCCGAGAGACUAAGGAAUUCCGCAUAGUCACCUGGUCACGGAGCAGGGGAGCCGGGGCAUGAAGCUGGGUUCUCUAGGUCCUAGAUUCUCUAGAAUUCCCUUUCUCUUCCUUUUUGGGCUCCCUUUCUCCUUUCGUCAUGCCUCCCUCCUGCCCCCCGCCCUGCAGGCACUCCUGCGACACGAGAAGUGGUGAUGACCCAAGUGGGACUGUCCACGUGAGCUCAACCACACGGAUGGGCCAGGGAGUGCGUCUAGAAAGUGCUUUCCUGCACGGGCUGUGAGGUUCAGGGGUGGGGUGCCCAGCCAGGCAUCAGGUCCUGAGGCACUUGUCCAGCCGGAAGACCAGCUGUCCUUAAAACAUGCUCUCCAGGCGCAGGCAAGACAGUGCUGGGACACGCGCACCCCCCAUCGGAGUAUCUGGGUUCCACACCUCACUGUGUUCCUGAUGCCAGCAUCCUGUGAGUGCUCGUGCUGGGAGGCAGCAGAAGACACUCAAGACAUGCACACACCCACUUCGUGUGCAUGCAGCACCCAGACCAUCUGAGGUCUCGCAUGUUCAGGUAAGUUUGUGCUUAACGUUACAAUGUCAAUGCGGACUGGGAGGUGAGUGUGUGUUUUGGUGGAAGCAUUUAUUUUUACUAGCUGUGUAAGUCACACCAAGAUUGCAUUUACAGCAUCAUUAAGGCUCUGAAGGGGUCACUUCAAUGUUUGACUUAGACUUUGCAGUGUAACCUCAAAAGCAGAAGGGUGAUACCCUGGGCCCCACCUCCCUGCUCCCACUCCACCCCACAUCCCCACAGAUCUGCAUUUCAUUUGCUUUUGAAAUUGAGUACCUGGCAUCUCUCUCUCUUUUAAAAUACAUUUUUACCUAUUUGCUUAUUUGUUUGAAAUGCAGAGAGACAGAGACAGAUCACCCAUCCAGGGGUGCAUUCUCCCAAAUGACUGCAAACCCACAGCUGGCCCAGGCUGAUGCCAAGAGCUGGGAACUCUGUCCAGGUCUCCCAUGUGGGUGGCAGAGGCCCAAACACUUGAGCCAUCACCUGCUGCCUCCCAAGGUACGCAUGAACAGGAAGCUGGAACUCGGAGUGAAGCCAAGACUCAAAGCCAGUAACUCAGAUAGGGAAUGCAGGCAGAUGUCUCUGCCACUGUGCCAAAUGCUCACCCUGUGUCUACACUUGAAAAUGAAGUUACAGGCGGCAAAGGAGCACACUCUACUAUCUUUGUUUUCCUGCCAGGCUCUCCUUGGGGACUACAGUUCAAGAUUUGGAGUCCAGAGACCCACAGUCGACACUGUUUCUACCACUGCACCCUUCACUUGGACAAUGUUGGAGACAAAUGUUAGCUGUUAAAGAGUGGGAGUCGGGGGCCGGUGCUGUGGCACAGCAGCUCUCUGCUGUGGCCUGGGAAAGCAGUACAAGAUGGCUCAAGUCCUUGGGCCCCUGCACCCACGUGGGAGACCUGGAAGAAACUCCUGGCUCCUGACUUCGGAUCGGCACAGCACCAGCCGUUACGGCCAACUGGGGAGUGAACCAUCAGAUGGAAGAUCUCUCUCUCUGUCUGUCUCUCCUCAGUAUAACUCUGCCUUUCAAAUAAAUAAAUAAAUCUUUAAAAAAAAAAAAAAACCUGCCACCUGCAUGCCAUGUGGGCGCUGGUCUGUGGCCUUCUGAUCCAGCUCCCUGCUAAUGGCCUGGGAAAAGCAGCAGCAGAUGGCCCAAGUGCUUGGGUUCUUGCACCCCCAUGGAACACCCGGAUGAAGCUCCUGACUAAUGACCUCAGCCUGGCUCAGCAUUGGCCAUUGCAGCCAUCUGGGGAGUGAACCAGAAGAUAUAAGAGAUAUAAGAUUGAUCUCUCUCUCUCUCUCUUUCUCUCUCUCCUUCUCUCUCUGAAACUCUGACUUUCAAAUAAAUAGAUAAAUCUUAGGAAAAAAAAAACCAGAAUGGGAAUGGUUGUAGCACUGCUUUAGCUAUGAAAUGUGACGUUACCGUCACAGGGUAGUGGGUGGAGCCACAUGUGCAGUGAAGUCUACAGCUCACCUGACUCCCGCUGAUACCGCAACACUGCUGCUGAGUUUGGGGCUGAGACAAACCAGCGACCACGGUACCGAGGUCUCUGUGCUUCCCGCUGGGGAACUUGAAACAACAGAAACCUCUGGUGAUCCUGGAGGCUAGAAGUCCGUGAUGAAGCCGUCAGCCCACCUGGCUCCUGCAGCUGCCGCGUCCCCGGCUGGCAUUCCUCAGCCUGUCUCUGCCUCUGUCUUCCCUCCAUGUCCCUUUGUCUCAAAUCUGUACUUUCUCUUAUUGGGACCCUGGUCCUCAGAUUGAGGGUCCACUCUAAAUCCAGGUAAUCUCAUCUUGAGACAUCCUUACCUUAAUCACAUCUGCAGAGACUAUUUCCAAAUAAGGUCACGUUCACAGAAACAGGAGUAAGGACUUGGAAAUAUCUUAAAAAAAAAAAAAAAGAUUUAUUUUAUUUAUUUGAAAGGCAGAGUGACAGAAAGAGAGGGAGAGAUCUUCCAUCCACUGGUUCACUCUCCAGAUGUCUGCAAAUGGCCAGGGCUGGGCCAGGCUGAAGCCAGGAGCCAGGAGCUUCUUCUGGGUCUCCCACGUGGGUGCAGGGGCCCAAGCACUUGGGCCAUCUUCUGCUGCUUUCCCAGGUGCAUUAGCAGGGAGCUGCAUAGUAAGUGGAGCAGCAGGGAUGAACCAGUGCUCAGAUAUAUAUGGGCUGCUGUUGUCCCAGGCAGCAGCUUAACCUGCUGUGCCACUCUGCUGGCCUCCGAACUAUCUUUUUAGGGAUAUGGGGACACAAUUCCUCCCACACAGGAAGAAAAUGUAAAACUGUUUCAAGGAAGUGGGCAACAGUUGAUGCAGGAAUGAGUAUCUGAAUCCGACUGGUGAGGGCGAGAGGUCAGGCUGAGGCUGGGGUAUGGCCUGGCUUGCACACGGCCUUGCCAUCUGUGGGGUUUCUGUGGGCACAGUGAACCAGGCACCACUUGUGCCAGGCAAGAACAGGAGUCAGAAACAUGGUGCCAGUUGGUAGCAGGUUUUUGCCAGUGACAUUGUUAAGAGUGUGGCCUCUGGAGUCACGCUGCCUGGGUUCAAAGCCAGACUGGGAUUCUGGGCAAAGCACUUAGUGCCUAACUAGGUGAUGUUCUUUCGACGCGGAGCCUGAGACAGGUUGCACCGCCCUCGGUUGGUGGAGGGAGUACUCAGGAGAAAAGGGACGAACCGAGCUCAGUUACAAUAACCCCAGCUAGAGCCGAGCUGUGCCCGAGCCCACGGAGAGCACCCUGGCCGAGGUCUGGCGCAGCUGGGGGUGGGCGGGUGUGUGUGACAUCCUAGGUGAGACCACUCUCGUUCGGUCACGGGAAAGUUGGGCAGCUGUGACUCGCACCCAGCACAGCACCUGGGGGAUGGGUGACCACAGGCAAGAAAGUUAAAGCCCACUUUAACUUUGUAUCUGUCGCUCCCCGUCUUCGUGGAGGAACGACACAGGACCCUGCGCUGUUCUUUCGUCUGCUCGGCCCUCCCCGGGUUUGCUGCUGGUUCUUCCCGGGUUGGCUACUGUCCCUUCCACCUCCGUGGAGGGGCGGUUCCCCCUGCCACAUUCCCCACUUCCGCGGGGGAGCGGCACACCGCCGGCCGGCUCUCUCGGGGGCUGCACAGGUGUUCCUUCAGAUAGAUGUUCCCCUUAGAUGUUCCUGGUGCAUGCCGUCUCUCUCCUCCUUUAUAGUCCUCCUCCGCCAAUCCCAACUCUGCUACCCACACGCCGAGUACGCUGCUCUCCUCCAAUCAGGAGCAGGUCCUGCAGCUUGUCAAGUUGGUGAGAGGCAGCUGGGUAGAAGCUGUUGCCUCCUCUCCCAGCGCCAUAUUGUGGGAGAGCAGAUGCAUAGAAUAAGUCUUAAUUCCAGUAACUCAGUCCAGUCCGGGUUGCUCCCCACAGUAUCCUUGCGUUUCUUCAUCCCCAGGUGCAGCUCAUCAUGGGAACUGUUCAUAGGAUUGCUAGGAGGUGUGUAAGUAAGCUAAUCCGCCUGAAGCCCGCCACCGACACACACUGAGUGCAUCUUACCUGCCAUUAGUGUGCUGUCUAGGGCUGAGUAAUAACUCGUCCCCAGAGUUAGCAACUUAGCACAAUAAACGUGUUACACAGCCAGUUUCUGAGGGUUA